CAGGUGGCCGCACCUUGCACCGGGACUGCCAUGGAAAAAUGUCCGGCAGGGGUGCCAUCACUUAAAAUUGAGAAGACCGUUUCAGACUUGCUCCCCGGCUAUUUUGCGCUGAAGGUGCUCUGACAGGAGAAGGGGUCGGUGCUGAAAUGCUUAAAGGGAGCAUUUAAACACAGAGACUUCAAUGAAGGAAGAAAGAAUGGGCGUGGAGGUGGGAAAAAGUUGGAAAAUGGAUUCGCUGACAAUCAAAAUGUCCCAGGAAACCGCAGGAAACAUGUCGACAGUGUCUGUAACAGCCGUGCACACGCGUUCACGGACACUCCCUGUGAAUGGCUGCGUGCCGGGACACAGCUGGAGGGGGUGGCUGCAGCAAGCCCUGACAUCCCUGUUGAGCCCUCCGUCCCUCUGUCCAUCUGUCGGA